GAGUGAGUGAGUGUGUGUGUGUGUGUGUGUGUGUGUGUGUGUGUGUGUGUGUGUGUCUGCGUGCGUGCAAGGCCAGAAUGAGUGUAUGCAAGGCGAGUGUGUGCCCGCGUGCCGAGCCGGCCCUCCCUGAGCCCCUUCCCCCCCUACACUCUGAUCUUAUUUGAUCGGGCCGCGCUCCCGCCCCGCUGGCCGGACCCGAGAUGAGAAGCUCUCCUCCCGCGAAGUCCCGGCCGUCCCAGGCCGGGGCGCUGUGCGGCGAGGCCCAUGCGAACAGGCGGCGGCCGCUCCCGGGCUCCCCGAGCCAGCCCCUCCGCGGGCCGCGCCGGGCCGGGCGCUCAGAAGUGAUGAGUUGAUCAGAUAGACGAGGCGGGGCUCGCCCCUGCCCUUGAGUAUCGAGGCGAUUCUGAUCUGA